rnacentral:rRNA from 1 species
GACGAACGCUGGCGGCGUGCUUAACACAUGCAAGUCGAACGGACAGGCCCUGCUUUUGUUGGUUUCUCGUUUGGCGAACAGGUGAGUAACACGUGAGUAACCUGCCCUUGACUUUCGGGUAACUUCACGAAACUGGGGCUAAUACCGGAUAUGAUCUCCUGCUGCAUGUUGUGGAUUGGAAAGUUUCGGCGGUUGGAGAUGGACUCGCGGCUUAUCCGCUUGUUGGUGUGGUAGUGGCUUACGAAGGCUUUGACGGCUAGCCGGCCUGAGAGGGUGAACGGCCACAAUGGGACUGAGAUACGGACCAGAAUGCUACGGGAGGCAGCAGUGGGGAAUAUUGCAGAAUGGGCGGAAGCCUGGUGCAGCAACGCCGGGUGCGGGAUGACGGCCUUCGGGUUGUAAACAGAUUUCGAAGGUGACGAAGAGUGAGUGACGGUAAUGGGUAAAGAAGCAACGGCUAACUACGUG